UAGAAGGUGCUUUUUCUGUGUAAUUGCUGUUUUCCGUUUUUGAUAUAAAACUAAACAGACUCGUCUCAUUUUCGCCAACAACUUCACCUCUAGCUCUAGAGAUUUCUUUGCUCUACUUUCUUCUUUAUCAUCUGUCUCCCAAAUUUCCAUACACAAAUCUCUAUUCUUCAAAUCUCAGAAUCUUAUUCUCAUCUCUGUUUGUUUUUGGUUUGAACAAAUGAGUGAUCCCAAGUAUGCUUAUCCUUACCCAGCUCAAGGAUAUUACCAAGGACCUCCAGUGAUGGCUCCUCCACAAUAUGCUGCACCACCACCCAGAAGAGAGCCUGGUUUCCUUGAAGGAUGCCUUGCAGCUUUGUGUUGCUGCUGCCUUAUUGAUGAGUGCUGCUGUGAUCCAUCUAUCAUCUUUGUUAGCUGAAAAUUUUUAUAUUAUAUGUGAUGUGAAAAUAAGAGAUUUUAGGAUCAGGUGUGGAGCUUUCCAUCUUAAUUAUUAUGUACCUUGUUCAUUGUGUUCAAGCUUUGCCUUUAUGCUUCUCCUUU